GAUGAACGCUGGCGGCGUGCCUAAUACAUGCAAGUCGAGCGAACAGAUAAGGAGCUUGCUCCUUUGACGUUAGCGGCGGACGGGUGAGUAACACGUGGGUAACCUACCUAUAAGACUGGGAUAACUUCGGGAAACCGGAGCUAAUACCGGAUAAUAUUUCGAACCGCAUGGUUCGAUAGUGAAAGAUGGUUUUGCUAUCACUUAUAGAUGGACCCGCGCCGUAUUAGCUAGUUGGUAAGGUAACGGCUUACCAAGGCGACGAUACGUAGCCGACCUGAGCGGGUGAUCGGCCACACUGGAACUGAGACACGGUCCAGACUCCUACGGGAGGCAGCAGUAGGGAAUCUUCCGCAAUGGGCGAAAGCCUGACGGAGCAACGCCGCGUGAGUGAUGAAGGUCUUCGGAUCGUAAAACUCUGUUAUUAGGGAAGAACAUACGUGUAAGUAACUGUGCACGUCUUGACGGUACCUAAUCAGAAAGCCACGGCUAACUACGUG
rnacentral:rRNA from 1 species